ACGAACGCUGGGCGGCGUGGAUAAGACAUGCAAGUCGAAACGGGACAGUUUUGUAGCAAUAUGAGACUGUUCAGUGGGCGAACGGGUGCCGUAACACGUGGGGUCACAUUCCGGGAAGUGAGAAAUAGCCCAGGGAAAACUUGGAUAUUAAUAUCUCAUUGUGGGUCGCAAGACUAAAGGCGCAAGCCGCUUCCUGAUUGGGCCCGCCGGCCUAUCAGCUAGUUGGUGAGGGUAAUGGCUCACCAAGGGCAACGACGGGUAGCUGGUCUGAGAGGGACGAACCAGCCACACUGGAACUGAGACACGGUCCAGACACCUACGGGUGGCAGCAAGUCGAGGAAUCUUUCACAAUGGGCGAAGGGGAGCCUGAUGGAGCGACGCCGCGUGGAGGGUUAAGGUCUUCGGGAUUGUAAACUCCUGUCAUGCGAGAAACAAAGCCCGCAAGGGUCUGGAUAGUAUCGCAAGAGAAAAGAGGAAGAGACGGCUAACUCUGUGCCAGCAGCCGCGGUGGUAUAAUACAGAGGUCUCAAGGCGGUUGUUCGGAAAAUUACUGGGCGUAAAAGGGUGCGCAGGCCGCGCGGGCAGCAAGUCAAAAUGUGUAAUCCAGGGGCUCAACCCCUGAACUGCGCUUGAUACUUCCGCGCUCGAGCUUUGGAGGAGGAGUCUGGAAUUCUCGGUGUAGCAGUGAAAAUGCGUGGAUUAUCGAGAAGAACACUUAGGGGCGUAGGCAAAGACUCUGGACAAAUGCUGACGCUCAUGCACGAAGGCUAGGGUGUAGCGAACGGGAAUUAGAUACCCCGGUAGUCCUAGCUGGUAUAAACGGUGCACGUUUGGUGUGUGGGAGGCAACCCCUUCCGUGCCGAAAGCUAACGCGAAUUAUAAAUAAUAACGUGCCGCCUGGGUAGUACGGUCGCAAGACUAAAACUCAAAGAAAUUGACGGGGACCCGCACAAGCGGGUGGAGUAUGUGGCUUAAUUCGAUGCAAACGCCUGAAAGAACCUUACCAGGGCUCCUUGACAUGUAUUGUAACCCCCGGUGAAAGCCCGGGCAGCAUGGAAACAUGCGCUUUUACACAGGUGCUGCAUGGCUGUCGUCAGCUCGUUGGUCGUGAUGAUGUUGGGUUAAGUCCCGCAACGAGCGCAACCCUUAUGAUUUGUUGCCACCGGUUCAUUCCGAGGCACUCAAAUCAGACUGCCCAGAUUAAACUGGGAGGAAGGUGGGGGAUGACGUCCAAGUCCGUAUGGCCCUUACGUCCUGGGCUGCACCACACGUACUAACAAUGUCCAGUACAAAUUGAACCGAGGCCGCAAGGGCGGAGGAAAUCAACAAAACUGGCUCCAGUUCAGAUUGGCAGGCCUGCAACUCGCCUGCAUGAAGUCGGAAUCGGCUAGUAAAUGGUACAUCAGCAACGGUACCGUGAAUAACGUUCCCGGGUCUUGUACACACCGCCCGUCACAUCAUGGAAGCUGGCGUUGCCCCAAAGUACGUUGGACCUCACGGUCGCGUCCUAAGGCAAAUGGUGGGUAACUGGGAUG
rnacentral:rRNA from 1 species